rnacentral:rRNA from 1 species
CGGAAUUACUGGGCGUAAAGGGCUCGUAGGCGGCCAACUAAGUCGGACGUGAAAUCCCUCGGCUUAACCGGGGAACUGCGUCCGAUACUGGAUGGCUUGAGUUCGGGAGAGGGAUGCGGAAUUCCAGGUGUAGCGGUGAAAUGCGUAGAUAUCUGGAGGAACACCGGUGGCGAAGGCGGCAUCCUGGACCGACACUGACGCUGAGGAGCGAAAGCCAGGGGAGCAAACGGG